AAAGGGCAAUAAAUUUCCUUACCUGUGCUUAGACAUUACAUCCUUAUCUAUGUGUGUACUCAUACACUGUUUAAACAUUAUCAGCUUCGAAUUAUUAAUCCAUUCCAUUUUGUCGACUCACUAGCCCCAGGAUCAUUCAAAGCUAGGAAGCACGGUCGAUACAGAAAUUCCAUACAUUAAACAACGUAGUCUUACACAAUGUCUAACUUAUUACAUGGCACCUCGAUGGCACUAAGGGAACAAGCACAACUUCCUCAUUUGGCAGAGGAAACAUACAGCACACUCGAGCACGGAGAGUGAUGAAACUAAGGGAACAAGCACAACUUCCUCAUUUGGCAGACAAAACAUACAUCACACUCGAGCACAGCGAGACGUCAUCCUCACACGAACAGCCAAUUGAGAAUACACUAGUCAUCAUACCCACUAGCGAACUCAGUAUCACGAUAAUCGUCAGCUUAUGCAUCUGGCCAAAUCAACAAGUCAAGUGAGCACGCUGAAUGAUCGCGAGCCAAUCAAGAGCAGAGGAUAAAAUGAAUGCAUGCUGAUCUAGAUGCUUAUGACAUACAAUCUGCUCAACAAUACAUUUCAGCAUCGACAUGGCAGAAGCAUCCCACUUGCAGUGAACGGAAGUACAAGUAACAUGCAAGUAAAUAUUAGUUGAUGAAUGAUAUAAAG
rnacentral:lncRNA from 1 species